UGGCUGAAAGCCAAACGGAGUUGGUCGCUAAAAAAAAUUCCACCUCCAUUAUGAGGAAUUGGUUUGGAUUUUCCGCAACUGAUCAAGCGCAAGCAAAUGUAAUUUGCAAAAUUUGCUCAGAAACCGUUCGCACGUCGGGUGGUAACACGACGAACCUGUUUAAUCACCUGAAGAGGAAGCACCCCAAGCAGUAUGCUGAGAGCCAAACAGCUAACAGAUAAUUCAGAGCAGCUCAUUAGUUUCCAUUCAUCUGGUUGUGGAGAAGGGAGACUGCAUGGACAUCCUUAAUUCUCUAAUGUGCUGUGAUGAUGAUGGUAGAAAACCACUCCCAGUUCAGCUUCCUCUGAUGAAAUGACAGACUAACUGCUGAUGAGUUUGUUUAUUAUUCUCUGUCUUCAGUAUUCACAGGUUCACUUUCUUACCUGCAACUUCAUUCUGCUGCUAUUGUUGACAGGUGAUGGUAGCAACACUUUUAAGAUCAGAAUUUAUAAAUAUUAAAGCUAUUGUGAAAAUUCAUACCAGAUGUGUUCUAUAAAAACCAUCAACAAAGUUAAAGCAAGAGCUUCAGAAAUAACUUUAUUGGACAUUAUAAACUACAUUGAUUUGAACUAUUUACAACACUGGAAAUGUGUAAAAGAAUAAUAAAUGGAUUAAUUAAAUACUGUAGUGUACAAUUUACAAUCAACCAUUUAAAAUCGAAAAAAUAGUUGUAGAUGAAGUUAAAGCUGAAUUUCACUGUCAUAUGUAAGUUUGUUUAAUAAAAAGACGUAGUUGAAUCAACAGUGCAACAGAGUAACAACUAUGUUCAUUAUUCAUCAUGACUCCUAAUGUGUGAGACAGUUAAUAUUUAUUUGCUCCAGUAACAAUCUCCCUCUAAAUAAGUGAUGCUGUUGGAACAGCACACUGAUAUGAGCACCAUGUUUUUACAGUUUUGUGCUUUGCAUGUGUUCAGACAUUGACAGAAGCUCUUCCUCUUUCAGUGUUUUGUAUUGCCUCACCACUAAUGUUUUUUUAUAUAGAAGUCUUCUACAAAUUCUUCCCAUGUACAUGUAUCAUUUGUUCAGAUUUAUUCAUAAAGUCUUGUUUUAUUACAGUAUAUGCUAAAUAAGGUUUAAAAGGAUGAUUGAUAGAUCUUUUAUGUUCUGAAGUACUUUAUAAUGCUUCAAAAACAUUUCAUAGUCAAGAGGAGCUGCUAAACAUUUUCUUAUUUUUUCUUCUGUUAUAUGUCAUGGGAUGGCAGAAUCCACCUCGGGCUGGAACCACACCUUGCCGUCGCUGAAACCAGCAAGAAAUGCAUGGUGGCCAGAUUGACGACACCGCAUCUUCGGGGUGGAUCCUUGGAGGUGCCUGCCGUCUCAUUGAGGCAUAGUGGUCCGUGUUGGAGGGGAAGCUCGGGAUGCUCGGCCUGACUGUUGUUAAGGUGAUCCUGAGGAUCUCCUGGGAGGAAUGGAGGCUGCACUGUUGGAGGAGGACACAUGGGGCAGAGGAGACGGCCCUCCUCAUCCAGGAUCUCCACGUCACCCUGGACGUCUCUUAGCCGGAUUCUCUCCGCACCCGGGACAUAAGGAGACACAGAGGCGCCACCUCAGCUGCAUUUUUGACCCACCACGUGUGCAGCUGUACACAGAGACUGGUAAAAGGGCGGGGUCAGUCUUGCGGUUUCCACCUUAACCGCUUCAUCCAAGGACCAGAAGUCCAGUCUAAUCACCACCAAUGAUGGACCAGCACGUGCCUUUUCUUCUGCAUCUGGCCUCAUCAAUCAUCAAGCACAUUACAUCAACACCUUGAGAUUUGGGCAUGUGUAGGAGCGUGCAGUGAAAAGGCAAACGAGACGAUUACUGCUGCUGUCUGAGCAGAUGAGAAGAGGAGAUGAGUAAACGCUAUACUUGACAGUUUUCUGACAUUCAGGAAAAACACUUGCUAUUGUCACUCUGCCCUCAUGUACCUGCAUGCAUGUGUAGUUUGAGUUUUUCUUUUCUCAGACAGAUAUAGAGUAUGUAUUCUAUAUAUUAUGCAACCCUUUUACAUCUGUGCUUCUGCUUGGCAUGUUACUUGUGUCUAACAAUGCAGCACAGUGUGAUCUUAUUUGGUCCUUAUUUCUAUCAAUAUUAAUAUCUCUCAUUUAUUGUUCUGCAUGUUUCAUCUUAUGGGACUUUGCGUUGCAUGUCUUAAAUGGUACCUGACAAUGUAUUCCUGAAUGAUGUUUUUAUUAACUUUAAUUAUCUUCUUUAUUCUUCUGCAUGCUUAUGGAUGAUCUCAAUAACUUUGUCAUUUCAAAAAUGGAUUAUAGCCUCUUGGCUAUCUCUGUUGCAUUCACAGCGAUGUUUAUUCAUGUGCACUGUCCCUGUUAAAUAAACAAGCAAACAAAUAAAAUA